rnacentral:tRNA from 1 species
GGGGUUGUGGCUCAGAGGUAGAGUGCUCGCCUAGCAUGCGUGAGGUGCUGGGUUCGAUCCUCAGUACCA